rnacentral:rRNA from 1 species
ACGGAAGGCAGCAGUGGGGAAUAUUGGUCAAUGGGCGGGAGCCUGAACCAGCCAAGUCGCGUGAGGGAGGACGGUCCUACGGAUUGUAAACCUCUUUUGUCGGGGAGUAACGUGCGGUACGUGUACCGUAUUGAGAGUACCCGAAGAAAAAGCAUCGGCUAACUCCGUGCCAGCAGCCGCGGUAAUACGGAGGAUGCGAGCGUUAUCCGGAUUUAUUGGGUUUAAAGGGUGCGCAGGCGGCGCGUCAAGUCAGCGGUAAAAUGUCGGUGCUCAACGCCGGCCGGCCGUUGAAACUGUCGUGCUCGAGUUCGUGCGAGGAGAGCGGAAUGCGUGGUGUAGCGGUGAAAUGCAUAGAUAUCACGCAGAACGCCGAUUGCGAAGGCAGCCCUCCAGCACUGGACUGACGCUGAGGCACGAAAGCGUGGGUAUCGAACAGGAUUAGAUACCCUGGUA